GAUCCAUGGAAGUUUCGUCUCUAAAAAAUACAGAAUGAUGUUAUUCUCUGAGAACAAAAAUUAGAGAGCGGGACACUGCAACAAGGAAGAGCAAAAAAACAUUUUCUCUGUUCUUCAUCUUCCUCUCAACAGAUGAACAAACCCAUGAGCUGCCGCCUCCGUCCACUCUAACUCCUUCCUCUCUAAAGAACUAGUAGACGUCCGUCUUCACACAUACACAAACACACGAAAAAAUAACAAAAAUCUGAAAUUCAGUGUUGAAAAAUUAGAUUCUAGAUCUGAAAUAUGAUAGCUUCAAAUGAAAGAAAGAAAAGAGGGUAGAGAGGAAUCUUUGAAUUAUUUGAGUUUACCGCUGCUCUCUUUGUUCUGGGUUUCAUCUUCAAAAGCUUGCUCUUGGUCGAAAAUUGUGCUAUUCCUCUGCCGAAAACUGCUUGCUGAGUUCCAUAGCUUGGUUAUCGGACUCCUAUUUGGUCUCUAUUUGUGAUUUUUUGGUAAUUAAGUUCUUUUCAUGAUGGUUCUAGUGAUAUGACAUGCACAUCAUAAUUCUCAGCCUGUUCUUUAAAAGUCAGCUUAGUCAGGAAGAAAUGAAACAAUUUUGAAGAUGAUGGGGACAUUUGAGGGAAAUAAGUAAAGGCAUUGUGAGAUCAUUUCAAGCCCAAAUUGUGUGAAACUGGGGCAGAUAGAACAUAAAGAAACCUUAUUAAAAUGAAUCAUGCCGCAUCAGGUUGAAGCUAAAGGCAAGUUUGCCCAAAUUGACAGAGGCCGUUCGUGGUAAUGAGAGUGAUGGUGUUGUCCAAAAGUGCUUUGUAGUUAACAGAUGCAGAAGGCGAAUAUGUGGAUAUGGUUAUCAAAUUUGGUACAAUCAAAAGAUGUUACAAAUGUUUUUCUUAGUU